rnacentral:sRNA from 1 species
AUGGAUAGUGAAAACAAGAAUACUGGAGAAGACUUAAAAGAACUUCUGAUAAAAACAUUCAUAUGCUCCCAAGUAAUGUGAAAAUUGUAAAUGAGAAGGGGAAAAAUGUUAUUUAAUACCUGAACUUUCAAAAAGUGGCCAAAUUAACCGUGAAUUUUUGAAAUGGCCGUUUUAUACCUCAACAAAAAGUUGACUUCUAAUUUAACCUAUAAGUUAUCGUUGACCCGGCCAAAUCGACUCACCAUUAACACUUCUUAACAGCUCUCCUAACAGCGUAACUAACAACUGUUUUUGUCCUUAAACCAACAAUAACGGCUGUUAGGCCAUGUUUUGUAACGGCUGUUAGGAGCGCUGUUAAGGAGUGUUAACGGUGAGUCUAUUUGGCCGGGUCAACGACAAAUUAUAGGUUAAAUUAGAAGUCAACGAUAAAUUAUAGGUUAAAUUAGAAGUCAACUUUUUGUUGAGGUAUAAAACGACCAUUUCAAGAGUUCACGGUUAAUUUGGCCAUUUUUUGAAAGUUCAGGUAUUAAAUAACAUUUUUCCCAAAUGAGAAGUGAUACUCACAGGCCAAAUAGCUAGAAUGUAAUAAAUGUUAUGAAGAAAACUUCAGUCAUGGUUGUGAUUUGAAUAAAACAA